AAGAAAUAGCCGUUCAGAUAGGACACGAGACAAGACUGCACUGCAAUUUCUCCACCAGCAGCUCGGUUUUCUACAUCUACUGAUAUGUCCAAGCUCAUGGGAAAUGAGUAAAGAACCCAGCAAAGCUCUCCUGGGUUUAAGGAGAGAGACUAACCAUCAGAAAUGCUUAUUGAGGGUUGCUACUUUGGGGCAUGGGAGUGAGUAUUAACAAGACAUAUUGACCUUCUUGUCCUUCUGCUGUGCUUUGCACUGUCUCUGCUAACUAUUCCUGUCAGGAAAGGGAGCUCUUUCUGGGAGACAUUCCUACACUUCUCAGAAUCACAGAACAUCCUGAGUUGGAAGGAAACCAUGAAGAUUAUCAAGUCCAAGCCUUGGCUGCACAGAGGACCUUCCAGAAUUCAAACCAUAUAUCUGAGAGCAUUGUCCAAAUUGUCAGGGCCACGAUGAAAAACCAGGGACCUUUACUCUUGUGGCUUUAACUGCAAGGCAAAACACCACGAGGAGGAAAACUUUCUUUUCUGCCUAACAGCUUUCAGCUAAGCCCUCAGCAUGUGAGGAAGCUCCAUUGUCCUGAGACUGAGGAAGACUUUCUGUUCGCUGCAGGGAGGUGUUCAUACUUGCACUCUGCUCUGGAGAACCACCAGUGAAUGGCUGGGGAAGUGUUCCCAUGUCCCUGAAUCUGUGCUGGUUUCUCUGCCCAACAGAAAACUGAUAGUCAUCCCAAAUCUGAGGACUCUUUUUUUCUGUCUGCACACAGUACUCCUUUCAUGCUGUCUGUUUGGUGACACAACUAACCACCCCUAAACAGUAGCAGUGGUGGAAGGAGACAGUACUAGUCAUGGUGGCUUAAACAUGAAUUUAGUUGGAUUUUGAUUCCAGCAGGAGGAAAUGUGCAAGUGUUUGAGCUGGGAACUUCCAAGGUCAAAUACAGAGCAUGCAUCCAGAGGAAGGAUAAGUCACAAGGAGGGACAGGAUGGGCUGAAUAGGAGGGCUGAAGGAAGGAGGAACUUGAAACAGAUAGCCCAUGCCUGCAAUAGUGUAGAAGUACAUGGCUAGACCCAGUCCCACUGCUGGAAGGAUCAAGGAGCUUGUAGUUUGGGUGUUAGCAGCAUGGUUUUGAUUCUUCCUCAUGCUUGAGAAUUAUCCAAGUGUGUGAGGAAGAGGUCAGGGUUUUGUAAGAAAAGGACUACAACUGGAAGAACAAAUAGUAAAUGUGAUGGAGGGCACCACUAACUCAUUCCAAAUUACAUUUUAAAUGUUUAUUUCUCCCCAUCUUGCACCUGAUAGCGAUUGUUCAUUAGGUUAAUCUCUCUCCCUUCCUUCACAGUGGUGUCUCCUCAUAUAUGCCGAAAGGCAAUGUCAAUCCUUAGCAUUGCUGGAGGUGUUGAGGGGCACACUAUGUAGCCUGAACAGUCACUGAAAAGUGCAGACAAAGAUCGUGAGUUACCCUGCCAAAUUAACAUGCUCACACCUUCUGUUCUUCCUCAACUCUGUUUGGAUUGGAGAGGUGGAAACGCUGCAGAGAGCUCCAGUGAAGAUUAUUCCCAAUGGCCUUCUGCACUGUAUCUGACACUGCCUCCUGCUGUGAAUGGCUCACUUUGCCCAAAGUCUGACUACAGAAUAGCAGAGAAAAUUACUGGUCAGUUAUUUCCUCUGUCAAUUGUCAGAAAGGGGUAGUCUACCCACCAUAGGUGUUCCUCAGAUAGGCUUGACUCAAUAGAGAAUAGUUCCUUUGGGGAGGGAUAAUCUGCAAUUUCCUGAGACUCAGAUAUAAAGGGAUGAGGUGUGUGCAAGGGACUCAUAUUGUCAUGGUGCUGGAAAACAUGACAAGAGGAGGAAAAGAGAACUAGGAACUAACCUGCAAGGGGUACUAGAUGGACUGGAUCCUUGCUGGGAAUGUCUGGCAGCCUCCAUGCCAUGGAUUAUCCAUGAAGAGGAAGACUUUGCCUUAAAUUAGUCCUACUCCUGGGUCCCAUUUGGUGAGUUUUGUAUUGAUGAUACUCCAAAGUAUAUAUUAUAGCCUUGCAUGAUAUUAAGUAAUCAUAAGUAAUCAUAAUCAUACUUUACUAGUGAGAAUUUGCAGUUACCUGCAAAUAAUCAGAGAUCUCUAUGACCUUGUCAUUCUGGGCAAAGACCAGCAUGGACACACUACCUUACUGAUCAACUAUAUUGGGUCACACCCCAACAUACAGUCAAACAAGUACAUCUACUGCUACCAUCUACUCCCAGGCCAAGGGCCCAUAUUCACUGUGAGCAAUUUUUGAGAGUCCCAAGAUAUGCUGGACCUAUCAGGGCAGCUGUUGGUGGCAAACAGUGGUCCAGUGUCCUCUGGCUCAUCUAGCUCUAGCACAGGGAUGUGGUGGAGUAACUCUACAUCCUGGGAGUCUAAAGGACGAGGUCAGAGUUCCUUCCAGGGCAGAAGAACAUUCUGACCCCGGCACAGCUUGUCCCAUCUGCUUUGCAGAAGCCCUGGUUCCCAGCACUAGAGUAUGCCUCUGCACAUUGCUGUGCACCAGCAUCAAACACUCACUACUGUGUUAUCUUUCCUUUACACUGCAGCCCCUAGUCAGCCUUGUCACUUUGUAGUAUGGGCAACAGGGUGGGGGAAAUGCAGAAACUGGGGAGAACAGUGAGCAGAGGAUGGUGAGCAAUCAUGUUGAUAUGGGCAGUUGUGGGAUCCUUGUCAGUUUUUUACAAGUGCUGCACCAAAACAACUCCUUCCCAUCACCACUCUCCAGGUUUUCACAUCAGUCAGGCAGUCUGUCACAAAAUCCUUGAAACAAAAUCCCUUUUUCUUCUGGUAGAGUACUACCAGAUCUGCAGAGAGCAACAGCUGCUUUGUCCACAGGAUAUUCACUGCCUGGCUGGAUUUUGACUGAGGGUCUGUUCUUUACAGGGCAGACCUCAUCUUGCAUAAGAAGAAUACUGCCUUGGCUGACAGAUUGCUGCAGAAUUAGAUGUGCAGUGAUGAAAGGGCCUCUUUACUUCAGAUACAAAUUACUCAACAAAAUGAAGAUUGUGGAUCUGCCAGGAAGAUGGAAGGAAAGGCAUGGCCCUGAGGUCUAGUUUUCAGUGCUGGGGUUGUUCCUCAACAGUUCUCUACCCAUAGGCUCUGAACUUGAGGAUUUUGUCUCCUACUUCUUUCCUAAUCCUGAUCCUGAUCCUAUUCCUUUGUGCCAUGCCAACAGCAGCUAGGAAGCACCAAGUUCUCCCUGUGUCCUGCACAGGUGCAUUACAGUGCUGCAGAUGGGGCUGCAUAUACUCCUGCUCUACAGAUCUGUCAGCCUGCUCUGCUGCAGCCAGUGCUAAGACUCACCAAAAUCAGGUCUCUAUUCUCUUGUUACAGGAAUUGAUACAUUCAUCUAUUAAAACACCUUCCUUUCUCCUUCAUCAUCUUCUCCCUGUGUCUCCAGAUUCUCAUGUGUGGAGAGUUGCUGAACUGCUACUUCCAGAAUUACAGAAGUUAAACUAGGAGAAACACAGAACCUUUCUAAAAGAAUGCUACACCCAUGUUUCUGAAAACUUUGAACAUUACAAAGUACCGCUGUGCUUUCAAAAGCUCUCCCACCAACAAAUAGCACACAAAAGAAUAUACACUCUACAAUGAAGGGCAGAUGCUCCUUUGUAGAAUAAAUCUUACGACUGGAGAGAGAAACCUGGAAAAAUGUGCAGGAAGUCACUGAGACUCUCUUCAUCCUCUGCUGCCAAGACAAGCAAAGGCAAGAUGUCAAUGGGCUUUAGUCUUGCCCUUCCCAUCCUGAAGGUGUGACCCCUAAUGCACACCCCAGCAGUCUGCAGGAUGUCACUGACAAAAGCACCUUAUUAUGCAGAAUGCUUAAGAGUCUUUUGAAGGGCUGGGAUUUUGGAGCUCAGAAAGAUGAUCUUCAUCACCUCUUUGCCAGCAUGUGUCCUACUAAUCCACUAAGGUGUCACUGGAGGCAGCCCCAAAAGGAAUUCUUCUCUGAGAUGUCAACCACAAUUGAGCAGUGCUUCUGCCCUGCCAGUACACCACUGAGGACAGUUACAGGACUUUGAAUUUCUUUUGGUACCACCAGCUUCUGGGAAGUUCCUUCGAAUAUGUCCUGGAAGCAUUUGGAUCUUCAGGGGAUAAUGAGUUUUGUGAUCACCAGUUUUCUGUGAUGGUCUAUGAAAAUAAAACACCCCCCUUAGAAACAGCAAAUGUUUCUUUCCAAGAUGCUGCAGUUUAUUCUUGUGGUGUGAAACACCACGAUGAGCUAAACCCUGUUUUCACCCAUGCAAAAUCUGCAUCACUAUAAACAGCACUAGAGAACAAGCUCUGCAAAAUCUACGUUGGCGGUGCUUUCAUCCCUGAAAUAAUUCUUUUCUUGACAUAAGAACAGUUCCAACAUCUUCUCCCACCCCAACACCUCUCUGCAUUUCUGUAGAGGUGUUCAGACUAUGGACUACAGGACUGUUUGCAGAUAAACCAACAACACUCAUAUCUUCCCCCAUGUCCCACUUCAAACUGGGGCAGUGCCCCUGGCCAGGCACUUUGGAAGGACGGAGGAUAUUGGUGUCUAUGUCUGUCCUGGACCAGGGGUGCUGGAGUGGUUGGGGAAUGUUACCCCUUCCCCUAUGUGUGCUCAGCUCCUCAUAGCUCCUCGGGUUCUCUUUCUGCAGGGGUGUGAGCAUAACUGAGUUGUUGAGGCUGGUGGUGGCCAAAGAGCACCUGGGGUACUCUAUGCUCCUUUCCUGUCAGAGAUAUGGCUUCACCUUGAUAAAUCAUCACUUUUGGUAGUACCAGCAGGUACUCAGUGGCAGUCUUGAGAGCAUUUCUUAUACCAGCUAUGAUUCUUCAACCAUUCAAUACUUGCUGGGAGUAAAAGACAGAGUCUUCCAAGGACAAUUCUCUGUCCGUGGCAUCUCUUCUUUUGUGUGCUCUGCACCCUGAGGACUCAGCUUGCUACUUUUGCCUGGUUUGCACAGCCAUGGGAAAUCCAACUGGACUUCAACAAAAAUCUGAUUCCAUGCCUUUUGUAAAUGUGCCACAGGAAGUAGCAGUCCUCAGCCUUAGCCUACAAUGCCUCUAGGCGUCGUCUUGAUUUAACCCUGACAGGCAGCUAAUCACUAUAGAGCUCCUUGCUCACUCCUCCCACGAUGGAUGGGGAACACAAUAAAAAAAAUGAAAAGGAAUAGAAUUCUUGGAAAUAAAAAGAGUGCAUGCUGUCAAAGCAAAAUAAACUAAAAUAACUGACUACCCAUCAGCAGGAAGAUAUUCCACCAUUUCUAGGAAAGCAAGACUUCGUUA